AGGAUUGGGAUAUUCCGACUCCUUAAGGGCCUGGCGCACAUAAGGUGUGACCUUUUCAUUCCCGUUGUUAUGGAGGGCCACAUCUGCCAGAGCCUGGAGUCUGCGAAGGCCGGGACCCGGUUCCCCGGCCCACAGUGGGGGUGUGCAAACCCGAGAGAACUGGGUUGCAAAUUCGUGAAGAAUCAGCAUCAUGUUUGGCAGCUGAGUAUUGGAGCCAGGAGCCUGCCAUGAGGUUAUAUUCCCAGAGGAUGUCAGUCCCAAGGACCAGUAGCUGCCAUCAGUUUGGAUUCUGAAAACUAACUGGCAUCAACACUGGGUGUAGAAACAUGCUUGCCUUAUGUAUCAGAGGACAUGCUCAGCAGAUCCAAGAGAUAUAUUUGGCAACUUUUUCUAGAAAAGGCACAUUGGGUAUCAUUCAUUACAUUCUUGAGUUUUUUUGGGUUUUUUUUUUUUUUUUUGAGACAGUCUUGCUGUAUUGCCCAGGCUGGAGUGUGGUGGCACAAUCACAGCUCAUUGCAUCCUCAAUCACCCAGGCCUAAGCAAUCCUCCCACCUUGUAGCUGGGACUACAGCUCACAGCACACCUGGCUAAAAUUUUU
rnacentral:lncRNA from 10 species